AAAUCGCCUGUCAAUUUUUUUUUCAUAAUUAUCAAUAAACAAACUAAAUUGUAUUAAAUUUUGAAGCUUACAGAACCUUACAGGAAGACCGUUAGUCGGAGGGUUCACUAGCUCUUGGACUAGAAGGGUGCGGGCGUGUCGCGAAAUGACGAUGGUGCAAUAGCGUAUAGCGACAUCGAACAACAAUGUCAAACAAUAUUUUUCCACUUUCCAAUGGUAUACAUAGCUUUAAAACAAACUACUAAGGAGCUAAGAGAGAAAUGCUGUUAUAUAGCAACGUUGCUGAUGCGUUAAUGAUAUUACGGAGGAUAUUAAACAAUUAACACCGGCGAAAAUAACACAAGACCCCUAUCAUGACAUUUUGAACAAACGUUGAAAGAAAUAAGCGUAAUAGUAUUGACGUCAUAGCUCUGCGGUUAUGGUUUUUUUACUGUUGUUAUUAUUAGUUAGAGUGGAUCUUAUCUCUGGUGUAUUUAAAAGUACAUUAUAUUAAUUGCAAGAUAUAAAUACGACACGCAAGUUAUGUGACUUUUCAAGAGAACUUCUAUCGCGAGACAUAACGAGAAAUUACUCACAAAUUAAUACCAAAAAAAUGCUAUAAUUAAUUUGACUCCAUUUAUAGUUUGUUUUGAUUCAUCAGUCGUAUCCGAAUAAUUAACUCUAUAAAUUUGACAUACUUUUAAUGUUGUUUAUGUGAUUUUAAAAGUCCAAACCACUUUCAAAUAUUAAUAUGAUGUCACACAAU